rnacentral:misc_RNA from 1 species
GAAAUGCGAUAAGUAAUGUGAAUUGCAGAAUUCAGUGAAUCAUCGAAUCUUUGAACGCACCUUGCGCUCCUUGGUAUUCCUUGGAGCAUGCCUGUUUGAGUAUCAUGAAAUCUUCAAAGUAAAUCUUUUGUUAACUCAAUUGGUUUCUACUUUGGUAUUGGAGGUCUUUGCAGCUUCACACCUGCUCCUCUUUGUUCAUUAGCUGGAUCUCAGUGUUAUGCUUGGUUCCACUCGGCGUGAUAAGUUAUCUAUCGCUGAGGACACUGUCAAAGGUGGCCAAGGUAAAUGCAGAUGAACCGCUUCUAAUAGUCCAUUGACUUGGACAAUCCUUUUAUGAUCUGAUCUCAAAUCAGGUAGGACUACCCGCUGAACUUAAGC